UCUUUUUUUUAAUCGUCCUCGAUUGAUUUGGCACUCUUUGUCUCUCCUCGUGACGGUCUCACGACUCUCACCCGUCUCUUCCAUCGCGUCUCUCUGCCAAAAAUCCACCGGCGAGAAAAAGGACCAAUGGCCGUUGAUUGGAGCCAACUACCGUCCGAUCUCCUCGAAUCGAUCUCCACAAAACUCCCCUUGUACGCCGACUACAUCCGAUUUCGUACCGUCUGCCGGACGUGGCGGUCCUCCACCGCGAAAACCCCCAACCACCUCCCUCCUCAGCUCCCGUGGCUCCUCCUCCCCCGGUUCAAGCCUCAAAGUCGCAACCGCUCUUGCUCCGGCUACUUCUACAACCUCCUCGACGACAAGGUCCACGUGCUAAGAAUCACGGAAAUGUACCUCCGCAAGCGUCGCUGCGGCUCCUCCCACGGCUGGCUCGCGAUCCUCGACGAGUCACCGAGCGUCGUCCUCGUGAACCCCCUGACCGGAGCCAAAAUGGACCUUCCUCCGUUGUACACGUUCCCCGACGUCGUCGGCUUCAAUUUCCCCGACGUAGGCCGCGAGUACUUGCUCCGCGACGGCGAUCAUCGGCUCUCGACGCGUAAUCUGAAGGACAUGCGUGACUGUUUCGUCAAAAAGGUGGUCCUGUCUUCAAGUCCGGCGAAGGACAGUCAAUUCGUUGCUGUGGCGAUACUCCAUCACAGUAACAGCUUGGCUUACUGUAGAAAUGGUGAUGAACGUUGGAGGUUUAUAGAAGAAGCGAAUUCUUACUGCGAGGAUGUUAUUUAUGGGGACGGAUUGUUCUAUGCUGUGAAUACGUUUGGUCUAAUUGCGGUUUGCGAUGUUAAUGGCGAUUCCCCUAGGGUUUCGUACAUCGAGACGCGGAGGCAUUUCGGUGGGGACAUACAGUAUUUGGUGGGUGUAGGAGAUGAUCUCAUGUUAGUUACGAGGCAUUUGGACUCCAAUUUUUGGCCCGAGCUCGAUCAAACAGUGUAUAGGACUACGCUAUUUGAUGUUUUUAAGCUGGGGGAUGAACCCAGGUGGGAGUGGGUGACAGACCUGGGUGAUUAUAUGAUUUUUAUCGGGCAAAACUCUUCUUUCGCAUUACUAGCGUCGGACUUCCCUGGAUGCAUGGGGAAUUCUAUAUAUUACACCGACGAUUACUCGGAUUCCAACUAUGAUGGAUUCUUGGAAGAGCAGGAUAUGGGAAUCUAUAGGUUAGGGGACGCAAGCAUUGAGAAAUUACCUUGUUAUUCUCCCAAUUUUUCCUUGCGGUCGACUCCACCCAUUUGGCUCUCACCAAAUCCUUGCUAGACUCCAUGAUUGUUAUUGAACUUGGCGACGGGGAAGAUUUUCAGAAGGAGUGAUAUGGCAGCAUGGAGUGUUUCCUCUUAAACUGUCUCUGAUAUGAACAAUGGACAUCUCUUCAACUUCUGCCAAUUUGCUGCUUGCACAUUUUGCUCCGUUAGCACAGCUGCAUCUUGACUUGUGUACAAAAUUAGCUAAAUUGAAAAAAAAAAAAAAGAAUUGUAAAUAAUGGCGACAUACUGCGCUUGAUUACCUGCUGUGUUGUUCAGGGAUGUUUGUUUGUGCCACGUAAGACUUGAGAUGAAAGCAUCUCCCUCUUAUAAAAGUGACUCUGGACUUUGCCAAACUACACUCGGAUGGAAGUAAUAAAUGGGUUGUUUCCAUUGGUAA